UACGUAGGUGACAAGCGUUGUCCGGAUUUACUGGGUGUAAAGGGCGUGCAGCCGGGCUGACAAGUCAGAUGUGAAAUCCCGCGGCUCAACCGCGGAACUGCAUUUGAAACUGUCAGUCUUGAGUACCGGAGAGGUCAUCGGAAUUCCUUGUGUAGCGGUGAAAUGCGUAGAUAUAAGGAAGGACACCAGUGGCGAAGGCGGAUGACUGGACGGCAACUGACGGUGAGGCGCGAAAGCGUGGGGAGCAAACAGG
rnacentral:rRNA from 1 species